rnacentral:rRNA from 1 species
UACGGAGGGUGCAAGCGUUAUUCGGAAUUACUGGGCGUAAAGCGCACGUAGGCCGCUUUGUAAGUCAGGGGUGAAAUCCCACGGCUCAACCGUGGAACUGCCCUUGAAACUGCGAAGCUUGAAUCCUGGAGAGGGUGGCGGAAUUCCUGGUGUAGGAGUGAAAUCCGUAGAUAUCAGGAGGAACACCGGUUGCGAAGGCGGCCACCUGGACAGGUAUUGACGCUGAGGUGCGAAAAUGUUGGGAGCAAACAGG